UAUUACAUGUGUAUUGUUGCUUUAUAUUGAGUUGUGUAUCUAAUCUCUGAGUUGAGUAUCUUAUCCUUGAGUACUUUUGAGUAUCCUUGAGUUGAGUAAGUUUGAGAAGAGGUAAGUAUGUUCCUUUUUAUCAAGUUUCAAGCUUAUGUUUAUGUUUAAGAAUUCCCUUUACAUGCUCGUACAUUCCACGUACUAAGCCAUUUGGCCUGCAUCUUUUCGUGAUGCAGACACAGGUAUUCGGGAUCAUCAACAGGAGAUUCGUUGAUACAUCCAAGAGUUUGAGUUAGCUAUGGUGAGCCUCCUUGUUUCCAGAGGAUUUCAUUUACUUUUCAGUUUAGUCCAGGUGUCUUGGGUCUUGUCUCGACUUUCAUCUUUAUCAGUUAGAGGCUUCAUAUAUAGUCAGUAUAGUUGAGAAGUUUGUAUUAUUCAUUUAUUUUAUUAAAUGUUUUAAAGACUUAAGUUGCCUAUUUUAUGGCGAGUUGAAUAUAUUAUUUUUAUUCUAAGUUGUUCAUUUGAGUAAAAGUUUUGAAAGGUUGAGUUUAUUGAAUUUUAUUCAGUUUUAAGCUUUUGCAUGCUUAAGUUAGUCUUCCUCUUGUAGUCAGCCAGGAUGAGGGUUCGCUUGGGGACCAACAAUGGUUGUUGAGUGCCAUCCACGUCCAGGGUGUAAACUCGGAUCGUGACAAAUGUUCUGACAUGCAGAUCUAAGAAUGCAACAUUUAAAUACUGACAAUGAAACAUUCUUAACUGGAGCAUGUAUAUCUGUUUAUCUGACCUGGCUAGUGUAAUUCAUUAACUAAACGAAUCUACACAACUAGGGUUCUGAACUUCAUGCAAGGAACUAGGCAACAAUGUUACGAAACCAUGAUAAUCUAAUUAAGGAUACUACAACAGCUAAAUCCCAACAAUCAUAUAAAGUUCUAGAAACUCUAUGUCUAAACAAGAUAAAGGGAAUCAAGCAUCUGACUGAAUUCUAGGGACCUAGUGGAAGAAAGGAAUCCACUAGUGAAAUAUCACAUACCUGGUGACGAAAUUCUCGGAGAAAUCUUUCGAUUUCGGGGCUGGAAUUGAAGAAAACUUGUUGCGUUCUUGGAAGGGUUUGGGUCGCCUCUUUUCUCCUCUUUUAUUCUAAGUUUGAUGAAAUUUUAGUGAAUGAAUCUCUUAGGGAAAGAUCUGACUAAGUUACUAGGCUUAAACCAACCAAAACUACAUAGUUUAGGGAUCAAAAGACAUAGUUUAAGUACCCAACACAUAGGGGAAGGGACCAAAAUGAUCCUGACUUAAUUUUGGCGAAGCCCAUCCACGGAGGGAACGACGGUCCGUCGUUUGACCUACCGGCCAUCGUUUAUUGGUUUGUCGUUCAUGAUCUGCCUGACCCUGAGAGCUUCACCAAAAAGAGCAUAACUUUUUACCGGAGAUGGGAUUUUAGCAAACUCGGUGGCAUUGGAGAGAGGUCAUGGGCCACCUAGUUCCGUUUGUUCUAAGAGUGAUGACCAUAAGAAGUUGACCCGACAACAAUUUCCCUCUAACUGUCUACUGACCCUCACCUAUGGUCAGACCUAUGUCCUGUAGGUCCAACCACAGACCGUACUGGUUGACUGUGGGUGGGAUUUGGGACCAUAAAUAUUUGGUGCUCAACAAUGGACCCACCUACAGAUCGUGUGUCAGACCACGUACAGACCGUCGGUGGCUUCCGUUGUUCUUGCACCAGGUCUGGAAAGCUCCAAUUUUUUUCCAUUUUCUCAAAUCUGAGGUGUUACAGUAAAACUUUACAUGAUUGGCGUGAGGGCGAAAAAAACCCAACACUAUGGAAGCUUACAUACCUCGAAAGAACUAAGUUCUUGGCGAUUUCCCCAAAUUUCUUGAUGAACUCUUAAGACCUUCUCUGUUCUCCUAUUGAGCUUUGCCCUAACUUUCUAAGCGUUUAGGAAUGAAUGAAAACUGAUCACAAUCAGGUUAGACCCCUAUUUGGGUGAGAAAAACGUUUUUGACCAAGUGGGGUAGGGAAAAGACCAAAAUACCCCUCUUUAAAACGGAUGAAAUGCAUUAACUAGAGAGGCUGCACUUGAACGGGCAUAACUCCUUCAUUCAAGCUUGGAAUUUAGCAAACUCGGCGGCGUUGGAAAGAGGACUCAAAGACCUUCGAUUUGAUACCUCAUGGGCCACCUAACUCUUUACGUGCUUAAAGUUAUGGCCAUUUGAAGUUGACCCAAAACUAAAAACUGAAGUUUAACUUGAACGAAUCUCUAGUUGGCUUUUCGAAGUACGAGAUGUUACAAUUACAACCUUUGUUGGUAAUUAUAUCAACAUCACUCUUAGAUGCCAAAUUAUAACUUAAAAACAUAUUUAAAAUAAAAGAAAUAAACUUCUUCAAUUAUACACCGGGUGAGUAACCAAGAAAAAAAAAGGAGGUAAGGUAUCUUUCUUAAUUAAUGACUCCCAAAUUUAUAAUAACAAUUUUCAAAUUUGUAGCUAGUAUAUUCUAUAAAUUGUAUUCAAGAGUGUGGUUUAAUGAUUAAUAAAAUGAGUGUUCAAUCAUAAAUUUUUAAAUUUAAUUUUUAACAAAAUAACAAUACUAGAUGAUUUCUUUUUAUAUAUUCUAAGCUCAAUGAGCGAAACUAUAUGAUAAGUGUUGUUGGUGAAAAGUGAUAACUAUCCAAAAAAUUAAUUAAGAUGUAGAUAGCAUUACCAACAAAUAAUUGAUUAAUGAAUGAAUUUACAAAAAGAGAAAAGGUUUUCAAACUCAUAAGCAAUAAUAACAACAUCUCAAAAAGAAAAACUAUUUUAAAUUUUAUAAUUCAUUGUUUAAUAUAUGAGUUCACAGAAGGUCUAACAAACUCAAUAUUAAAACAUUAAAAUUAAAAAAAGUGUCACUCUUUUUUUUGAAUGGGUCCUUUCGAAAUGGAUGCCAUUCAGUGAAAGACUCUUCACAAGUGACUGAAAAAGAUAUGACAGAAUUUACAUCAGUUUUUGCUAUAUGGAGAUCAGUUUCAUCUAAAUAUUUAAUUGAAUCUUUAAGAUCGAACACAGCUAAAGCAUAAUUAUCUCGACAAAUCUGAAUACAUUGCUUGAGAAUUGGCUCCAUCGGUUGCUUCAAUAAAAUUAGAGCUUGAUUAUAAAUGUCAUUAGCCAUGGCUAAAGACAAUUGUAGCAUGAUAAGUGUCAAACCUUUCUUAUCAGCAGCAGAAGAACUUCUAGGAUCCGCUCUGAGAGAAUCAACACAUAAUUUAUAGUUAGUGGACUUUUUACAAAAGUCAUUUAUCAGAUCUCCACAUGAAUGGGCCAUAAAAAAGAAAGCAACGAAAAAAAUCACUGUCAAUGAUCUCAUGAGUUUCAUUUUUUCUUUAUCUUUUGUGAGAAGUGUGGCUUGAUGGAUGAGCCAUUCUUAUAGAAUGAAGUAUUUUAGUUAUGCCUCUUUUUCAUUUACAGUAAAAAUCAAGAAGAUUGUGUUACCAUUAUUUUAAUGAAAUAAUGGUAAGCAAAUUGAAAUUUAAGUUGAUAUCUUUUAAAUUAUUUUCCUUUUAUGCAAUUGUGAAAUAAAGCCAAAUUCUAUUAGCUUACUUUGACUAUUGAAAUUAACUUUUUUAAUAAAAUUGAAUUUUAAUUUAUGCUUCAUUUUUAAUGUAGUUAAUUUAUCAGAGCCAUUCAAUUAUUUUUAAAAAAUUACUAGCCAUGAUAAAUCUCAAGAUAUGAAGGGCAUUAAUUUUUCUGCCAAACAUAUCACAAGUGGGAUUGUUCAUGAUUUGAUCAAAAAUUUAUUUAAAUUAAAAAUAUAACUAAAUCAAUACUUUUUCUAAUUUAGUUUGAUUUGAAUUUUUUUAAGUAUCAUAUAUUUUUUUGGUCAAUUUUUUUGUUUGUAUUUGUGCUAUCAGUUUUGAAGUGAAGUAUUCCUGAUUUUGAUUCAAGUAGAUUUAACUUAUAUCUAUUGAUGGUUAUACCCUAAAAAAAUAUUUAAAUUUAUUAUUAAAAUUUGGAGAACAAGAGGUUUUGAUUCAAUUGUACACAAAAUAAAAUACAAUGUUACAGAGAUAAAGAACGAAUACUUAAUCAAUUGAAAAGCAAAAUUGAAGUAGUCAUGAUCAACAAUUCAACAUGAGUCAUGAGUUGUGUGAUUCAUAGGACUGCAUUGUAGCCGAUGAAUGUCAAUUAUUAUUUCUAUUUUAAUAAUUUUAAAACCAAUUAAAUUGAUUCAUUUUGAUUUUAAUUAGAAAUCGACUCAAAUUAAAUCAUAAUGUUCCUUCUAUUUCAAUUCAUGUAUCUCACUUUUCUCUUUAGCUUGUCUAAAGAAAAAAAAAUCACAUUUUAUAUUUGGUAAGUUUUUAAUUAUUACUAGUUUUGACGCACGUGUGUUGCACGUGAAUAUCAAACCAUGUACCACACUAUUUUUAAAAUUAAUGUGAAUAUUAUUAAAUAAAAAUUAGUCACUCUUAAAAUCUCUUAGUUACACCUCUUAAAUAUAAUUUCUCCUCCCUUUCCCAUAGUGCAUUACUUUGUUAUUAUUGUAUUGUUGGUGUUCUUACUUUUAAUAUAAUAUAAUAUAAAUAAAUAUUGAUAUAAAAUAUAGAAGAUAUACUAAAUUGGAUGUUUUUAGUUGGGGUAUUAGAUUAAUUUAACAUUCAUGUUAGGGAGUGUUCUAAUUUCACUGAACUUUGAGAUUGUCAACGUCUGUAAAUCAAACUUGUGGUUUUAAGAAGAGAAAAAUAGAAAACACAAAAAACGGUGUAGUUUAAAAAUGUGAGGAAAUCCCUCCAUUUAUAGUUAAAAAUGUAUAAUAUUAGUAUGUGCAUAUUGUUUCUUAUCAUAAAAAUAUAGAAGAUAUACUAAAUAGAGCGUUUUAAGAAGAAGAAGAAUAAUGAAUAUUUUUUAAAAUGUAGUUUGAAAAUUUGAGGAAGCCCCUCUUUUUAUAGCCAACAAAGGAUAGUGUAUGAAAAACUGAUUAUUGUGCCUUAUAAAAAAAGAAGUCACAACCCUUUAGAAAAGUCACAAGCUUUCAGAAAGGUCACAGCUCAUCGGAAAAGUCAUAACUCUUCGGAAAAAUCGCAACCCUUCGGAAAACUCACAACUCUUCUGAAAAGUCGCAACCCUAUAGAAAAGUUACAACCCUUCUAAAAGGUCACAACUCAUUGAAAAAGUUAUAACUCUUCGAAAAUAUCACAACCCUUCAAUGUGAAAAUGUGUCUGCAUUUAAUAUAAUAUAAUAUAAUACAGAUAAAUAAAUAUAAUACAAUAUAAAAUAUAAAAGAUAUACUACAUUUGGUGUUUUAGUUUGAGGUAUUAUAAUAAUGUAACAUUUAAGUUAAGUAGUUCAUUCUUUUAAGGUAGUAGUAUAGAUAGAUAAAAAAAAGAUUAGAUAUAGAUUGGUCUAAUUUUAAUUUGAUAUGAAUUAUUAAAAAAUAAAGAAAACUUUUAAUUUAAGGAUCAUAUGUAGAAUUUAUAAAAAUGUCUUUUAACUUUGUGGUCUUAAAGAUGCGCGCGCCCCCACCCCCAAGAAAAAAGAACAUUUUAUAUUAAAUUGAAUAAAAAUAAAAGUACAAUAAAUAAAUUGAAAACGAAAGAGUACUUACUAAAUGUAGUUUGGACUCUUCAAACAAGUUUUUGAGCAAAUAUGUUUUCUCCAACAGUUUGAGACUUGUCAGAUUCUGAACACCAAGUUGUAGUUUGUGCAACGGAAAAUUAUUGAACUUCUUGUCAAGUAAAAGUUGUUGCAAAAGUAUAUUUUAUGGCUAUAAAAAUGAGUACAUAUUAAUUAUCAAGAUACUCUUCUCGUUUAAGUUGAGUUAUUUCAUUCUCCUUGUUGCAUCAAUUUUUGUUGAUCUAUCUAAUUUACUCACAAAAAUAUUACAAUUGCAUAAUUGAACAACUCUCACAAUCUUCCUUAUUUUAAGAAGAAGAAUAAAAAAAUUACAAAAAUCAUAGUUUAAAAGUGUGAGAAACCCCGUCAAUUUAUAGACAACAAAUGAUAGUAUGAAAGGGUGUCACGCUCCGAGCCUACACCCCGGACUUGGCCGGCACUCGAAGACCAUUGCUGGCCCCAAGCGAACCCUUGGCCUGGGUUUCUUAACUCAGCGAAAACCUAACUCAACAGAAUAACUCAAUGCAAUGCAAGGUUAUAAAACAACUUAACUGAUGCAUUACAUGCCAAAAGGCAACUCGUGUCUCAAAAUAGAAUAUUUACAUAUAUACAUAGAUGAGAGACUCAAUACUUACUGAAUGACUGUCUAUGAAGCCUCUAUAACACUGAGAUGGAUGUUGGGACAGACCCCACAACAUCCUAAUAAAACAAAACUAGGAACACAAAAUAACAGAAUCCUUCGGAAAACAAGGAGGCCACCACUGACUCUGGAGUGCUCAGCUGGAUCAAUGGCGUGCUGGAUGCUGAUCCUGGGUACCUGCGUCUGCAUCAUAAUAAGAUGCAGGCCAACUGGCAUCAGUACAUUGAAUGUACGAGUAUGCGAGCUGGAAAGCUAAACAACAACUUAAGCCUGAAAGGAGUACAAAGGAACUCUUACCUUGGCUUUUCUCGACUCAUGAAUAACCGAACUCAAUAUAAAGCAAUAAGACACAUGCAAUAUAUAAAGCUUGUAAAACAGUAUAAACAACUUAGUUCGUUAAAGAUAAAAUAAUAACAAACUCAACUUUACCUAUAUAUAAAAGUAAUAUAACUUUUGUGGGAGAUUCNNNNNNNNNNNNNNNNNNNNNNNNNNNNNNNNNNNNNNNNNNNNNNNNNNNNNNNNNNNNNNNNNNNNNNNNNNNNNNNNNNNNNNNNNNNNNNNNNNNNNNNNNNNNNNNNNNNNNNNNNNNNNNNNNNNNNNNNNNNNNNNNNNNNNNNNNNNNNNNNNNNNNNNNNNNNNNNNNNNNNNNNNNNNNNNNNNNNNNNNNNNNNNNNNNNNNNNNNNNNNNNNNNNNNNNNNNNNNNNNNNNNNNNNNNNNNNNNNNNNNNNNNNNNNNNNNNNNNNNNNNNNNNNNNNNNNNNNNNNNNNNNNNNNNNNNNNNNNNNNNNNNNNNNNNNNNNNNNNNNNNNNNNNNNNNNNNNNNNNNNNNNNNNNNNNNNNNNNNNNNNNNNNNNNNNNNNNNNNNNNNNNNNNNNNNNNNNNNNNNNNNNNNNNNNNNNNNNNNNNNNNNNNNNNNNNNNNNNNNNNNNNNNNNNNNNNNNNNNNCAUGUUUAUGGAUGAGUUCUUGACGUUUAGACGUACCUUAGCGGUGGAAACAACUAUAAAACAUAGGUACAUUACCAAGGAACAUGUAAGAAAAAGUGGGGAAAGAAUGGGAAAGGUUGGUGUCCUUGGCGCUCUGAGAGGCGCGGGGCGCCAGCCCUCAAACUUCAGAGGGGCCUGCUGGGCGCUCUGCUAGGUGCGCCGCCCCAAGGGCUGGACUUCAGAGUCCCUUUUGGGGCGCGCUGGCUGGCGCAACGCCCCAGCCCUUUUCCCCAAAAAUUUGAUUUUUCUCCUUAAUUUCUCCAACUCUAAACCUUCUAAACUUCAAAGUUUCCAGCCCCAAACUCUUAGAAUCAUAAAUCCCCAUACUAUACAAUGGAUUCAACUCGGAAUUACAACCGGAAACAUGCACCCAACCAACAAGAAACUUCAACAACACAACCAAUCUUUUCUCAGAAUUUAAAACGAGUUUGGCGUGUGGGGGAAUGAACCAACCCAACACUAUGAUCUCACAUACCUUAUUAGGGAUCACCCCCGACGAAAACCACGACGAUCUUCCUUGCUUGUUCUUCUCUUUCUCUUCUUCAUCUCCUCUUCACACACAAACCCUUACUAUUACUCUUUUAAAAAGGGAAAAACUGAUCUAAAAAUCAGUCUAAACUCUUUAUAUAACCAAAAGAAUUGGUUAGGGAAAAGACCAAAAUACCCUUACAAUUUUCGGGCUGACUUCCCUGUGCCAACAGCCCAACUUCCAAAGGGGAUAACGCACUCAUACAAACUCAGAAUCGAGCAAACUCGGCGGCGUUGGAAAGACCAUUACACGAGCUUUGCAAACAUAGAUGGAAAUACACCUAAAUCAUCCGGAGCUAGGAGUUAUGACUGUUCAAAGUUGACCAAAAACUCACUUUUUCCAUAACCAAAUUUCCAGAUUUUUUAAAAUUUUUCCAAAAAUGACUAUUUCCAAUUUCAAGCUUUUUCAUAGAUAUUUCAAAUUGCAUGACGUUACAAAAUGUGUUUAUCGUGUCUUUUCAGAUAAAUCACAACCCUUCAGAAAAAUCACGACUUUUUGGAAAUGUCACAACUCAUCGAAAAAGUCACAACUCUAUAAAAAAAAGUCACAACCCUUCGAAAAGUCAUUACCCGUCAAUGUGAAAAGGUACCUACUUUUAAUAUAAUAUAGCGUAAUUAAAUAUACUAUUAAAUAUAGAAUAUAUACUAAAUUGAGUGUUUUAAGUUGGAGGUAUUAAAAUAAUUUAACAUUCAAGUUAGGGAGUUCAUUCUUUCAAGGUAGUAUAGAUAGAUAGAUAGAUAUAUCAAUUUUCUUAUAAUGACACUCAUACAUAUAUAUAUAUAUAUAUAUAUAUAUAAGACUAAUGUUGUCACAAUCCAAAAAUGGACGUGAUGGCACUCAUCUUAUCCCACCACGACAAAUAAGCCUAAACCCAACUAAUAUGAUAAAUGCAUAAGUAAAACAAUAAAAAGAGACAAACACCAUCUAAUAAUGUAGAACCAUAAUCAACUCAAAUAAAUCCCAAAAACCUGGUUGUCACAUCCAUUCUUGGGUUGUAAUAAAUGGUAUCAGACCCCCAAGUUCAUAGGUCUUACGUCUGUACAAGUCAAGUCUAGUAGGGUCUCGAGGAUCUAUGUGGAGACAUGUGUGGCUUAUCUUCGAGAGGCUAUGUAGACUUUUAGGGAAAAUCUUCACUUGUUGAAUCUCUAUCGUGCGAUCUUGAUUUGGUCUAAUUCUUUUCACUUCAUUUAACUCACUCACUUAUAGUGGUGACUUGUGCUUGGUUAUUUGUGCGUUCAAUUAUGAUGUUAUCAUGUGGUUUUGGUGUCAGGUCUGGUACUAACGCGGAAGUUAUAAACUUAUGAAAAUGAGGUGUUUUCAGGCUUAGAAUGUUCUGCAAUCCAAAGAUAUUAAGUAAGUUUAUAGUUCAAUGAUGCAUGUUGAGGAUAUUUGAAUGGUGAGGGUGAAUAAUGUUUAAGGAAAUGCAUGAACAUCUUAUCUUCUUUGGCUAGUUACUCAGCGAAUAAGAGAAUUUGAAUGGUUUAAGUGUUCAUAUAUGACUGCUUCAGCACUACUGGAGUUCCCUUGGUUACAGCCAUGAAACGUGUUACUUUUGCUAUCGACCUGGUCUAUAAAAGGGCAAAUAUCGCUUUGGGCUAGAGGAUGAAUAGAUUUUGUAACACCUCCCAACUCUACUCUUAGAAUCCGAAACGUUAUUCUUAAGUCUAUGAGCUUGAACCGGGUGAUGUACUACUUGCUCAUGUGUUUUAAGGUCCUUUACCAAGUGUAUAACGGGUAUCGAAAGUGAUUUAGGGUCAUAGGGGUCCUGUAACACUAAGUCAAGUUCAAAGCCUUUCUAUUGGCUAAGUUUUUUGCAUUAGUUCACACAAUAGUCAACUUCAAAUGAUGAUAUGUUUCAUUAUAUAAAGAACUACAUGGACCAUAGACUAUCAAAUUAAAGAUCUAUUGAGUCUCUUUCCAAUGCAAUAAAGUUUGCAUCAAUUCUAAGAGUAAAAGGUUAUGCACAUUUUACUAGACAUUAUCUUGACACACGCCGGCCGCGAGGCCUAGGCAUUUUCCGUGCGGGCACGCACCGAGGCAGGAACCAUUGCCUUCCUACAAGGUUGGAUGUGCACCUGAGGCGUUUGCCGCGCAGGAAUUUGAGGCUUUAAUGACCCUCCAAAAAUGUAGUUCACCUCCCUAGUUCAUAAAUUUACCCUAGAAAGAAAAGUUUUCCAGAAAAUAACUUCCUCCAAGGUUCAUCCAUCAUCCAAGGUAAGUUUUGGCCAUAAAACUUCAUAGUUUCUUCAUCUUAACAUGGAUUAAUAACUCCUACUGAUGAAAUUCACAAUUUUUUCGAGAAAGCUCCUCAAGAACUCAUCUCCAAGGUUUAGGAAAGUUUUUGUGGGUCUAUUUUUUCCAAUAUCAUACUUUUCUCCGCUAAUUGGAACGAUUUAGGCAUGUAAGGCUAAUCAUAGUGAUGUAAUGAUUCAUCCUCACGCCCUACAUCUACUUUCUAUCAGUAAGAGAUAAUCUAGGGUUGCAUCCUUAGUUUUGAUAAUUCUUGAGAUGAGUUGUUGAAUUCUAAGUUUCUAUUCCUAAUUUUUGAAUUGCUAUAUGUUAUGCAUAGAGAUUCGUGACUUGAUUGUUCAUGACUAUCAUUCAGCAUGAACCCUAGUAUUUGAGUCUUCACGGAGUUAUUAUUGAGAAUAUUUGUAACCAAACAUUUGUCUUAAACUGAUUUUCUGAGAAAGUAAAGAAGAGUUUUAAGUAGAGUUUAAAGAGAGAUUUUUGAGUAAGUUCAGGGGAACUAAUUAAUUUCCAAAUGUAUUACUUUUACAUUGAUAAAGAGAAUUUUUUUUUUCAUAAAGAGUUUAUACAGAUACUUUAGAGUAGUUACCUCUUUUAAGAGGAUGAUUUGAGCAAUUACCUCAAAUUGAGAAAGACUAUGUUUUAUACAUUUAAGCAUGAGUAGUAUAUUUAUUGGGAGUAGUAUUGAGCACUGAUAUAGGGAUGAGUUCAGAUAACUCAAAAUCCCCAUAAACCAUGUAGCCAACAUGGGUAAAGGAUCGUACUUUUAGAUGACUCUUUAUUGCUUUCGAGUAGAGCUUUAGUGGAUCCACUUAGUGUAGAUUUCCUAUAUCCCGGCAAGGUAUAGGACAAUUUUGGCAGCGUGGGUGAGAUGUUGUAUCAUCACGUUGCUCAUAGUGAUAGUUAUCGGUUAGAUAAACUCCCUAAUAGAUUAAAAAGUAUGUUAUUGUAUUUUCUUAUACAUCCUUAAGUUAUCCUCUUUUACUUGUAAAGCUUUAAACAUUCUAUUUUUUACUUAUGCUUUGAGUUAAGUUAAGAUGAGUUGAGGUGAGUAGUUCUUCAUCCUUAUCAGUUUAGUUAUUUAUUCUUUUAACUCCAUUACAUACUCGUACAUUCAAUGUACUGAUUCCAUUCGACCUACAUCUUUUUAUGAUACAAAUACAGGUGUUUAGGAUCAUCAACAGGCGCAUUGUUGAGAUCACUUUGCACUCCAGUUAGCUUUUGGUAAGCCUCCGUGCAUUCUGUAGGACUCCAUUUUUAUUUUCAAUUUAGUCAUUUCAGGGUGUUGUGGGUCUUCUCCCGACAUCCAUGUUGAACUAUAGAGGCUUCAUAGAUAGAUGGAGUUGAGGAUUCUCUUAGUACUUUCAUUUUCUUUGAGAUGUUUUGCAAAGUAUUAAUAUUGGAUUUAGUAUUUGUAAGAUAGUAUGAGUUGAGUGUUUUACAAGUUUGAUGAUUUUCUUCUAUUUUAAGUCUUAAAAUGUUUGAGUUGGUCUUUCGCUAAGUAUUCAGCCAAACCAAGGGUUUGCUUGGGGACCAACAAUGGUUCUCGAGUGUCGGCCACGUCCAAGGUGUAGGCUCGGGGCGUGACAUAUUUGGUAAUGUAUUGUAGUUACUUAAGGGGUAGAAAUGUGUGGGUUAUCUGGUACGAUCGUGUAUUUGGGUAUGAUGUCUUCUAGUGGUGGAUCUAGAAAAAAUUCACAAUAUGGUACUAGUGACAAAUGGAAAUAGAGAUAUCAGUUAUUGAGUGUGAUUCCUGACUACUUCAGGAACUAUUAGUUGUUUGACCUAUUCGGGAAAGAAAAUGUUCUAUAUUACAUUCACAUCUAAGAAAACAAUUGCUUAAUGUGUUCUCUUGAGUUAGGCGUUGUUUAUAAGAAAUACUAUAAUGGUGGAUCUUUGGUAAAAUAUUAAUGUGUUCAGGUUGAGAAGUAUAUUUCGAGGUUUUAAUUUGGAACAUGUGAUUUCAUUAUGAGCCAAAAAGAGUGACUUGAUAUUGAUAUGAUGAGCUUAUGUGUAAAGAAAGUUCCAAAAAGUAUACUUGAGUGAAGGCAAUUGAGGAUGUUAGUAAGCAGUGUAUGUUGAAAUUGGUUAAUUCAAAGAAUUUGUUUGGUAUAUCUUGGAUUUGAAGUAUCAUAUCAAUGGUAAGAUUGACUUCAUGGGGUGAUGUGGCUUUGUUUUCCUUGUUCAGGUUAUGAUAAUAAUGUUAUGUGUUCAUCAGAUGUCUUAAUAACUGUUGAGUAAGAUUUGAGAAAGAAGUCUACAAAUACUCGAUUCAAGUGUGGUGAUAAGUUCUUUUGUGGUUACGAUUUUGGUAACUGGUACGACUGGAUUCCUAACAUAUGAUAUGGUAAGAUCAAUAGAGAGGUGAUCAAAGAUAAGCUAGGAUAUGUGAUUUCAUGAAAUCUUCAAGGUAUGUGUUAAUGUCGAUUGAUAAGGGUAUCGGCUUACAUGGUUUGAAUCAAAAUUUAGUUUUUUCAUUGUAAGAAUACGUUCAUGGAAAUAGGUUUUGUCAAGGUAUGGAUUGGUAAGGUAAGAAAUGAUUGAUCAUGUUGAUUAUUGAGCAUUUGAAAAGACUUGUGCAUUGUUUGGGUAGACCUUUUGAUUGUUUAUGGGCCUAAUAUGUGUUUCUCUUGAAGUUUUUGGCUUAGAGUAUGAUGUAAAAUGUCAUGAGUUUUUGGUCAAAAGAUAGGAUUGGUAAAUGAGUUGGAGAAAGGAAAAAGAGUCUUGUAUAUUGAAGAGUUCAAAGUAUUUAGAAUUGUGGCACAGGUAAAUUUAAGAAAUAUGAAGAAAUAAGACAUCAUGUGUAGGUACUUGGUUUAAAGUUGAAGAUUGUAUGGAUUCUUACCUUUGAUUUGAGAUAUGAUGAUGCAAGGUGGGAUGGUUCGACACAGACUAUUAUGAUGAGUUACAUAGACACUUGUUGGUAAAUAAAGGUUAUGUGUUUAUGGUAUACAUAGUUAUUGGGGUGAUCAAAGGUUUCUCUAAGAUUUGGCAUGAAUAUGCAAUUGUUCGAAUGAUGGUUGCGGCAUGGCAUAUAAAAGGUUGCAUACAAUCAAUAUUGGUUUAUGAUUCAACAGAUUUAUCUCGAUGGAAAAGUACAGAUUUGUAAUUAGUGCUAUCAACCAUGGGUAGGACCAGUUUCCGACAUAAAAUGCUUAAAGUAAGAUUGAGGCGGUAAAAAACCUUUCUUUGGAAAAAAGGAGUCAUAAUUUAGAGUCACAGGAUGUGACCAUUUUUUUCCAAAAAUUAAAAAAUUGAUACUAAUGAUGGUUUUGGAAGCAUGAGUAGAGGAUCGGUGAGGUCAUGAUAUUUUGUUGGCAUCAAAUUUUUUGUUUUAGUUGUCAGAUUAUGGUGAAUAUUCUAAUGACCCGGUCAAUCAGUUUUAGAAAAAUUCGUGAAUUUACCAUUUUUGUCCCUCCCGAUACUGACCUGGAGUCUUCUAUGAUUGAGUUUGAAAAGUUGGUUUUGAACUUUGAGUUAAAAGGUGAGAAUUUAGUAAGUUUUGAGUUGGAAAGGCUAAGUUGUUAAGAAAGUGGGUUUUCGUGUCUUUUGGAGUUUUGAGUAUCAGAAUAGAAUUCCAUUGAUUCCAUCAGUCCCAUAAUGUGAAAUCUGAUCUGUGUGAGUUGUCAGUUUCUAAUUUUGAGUCUUUUUGAGGAUUUGAGAUCCUAGGUUGUGAAAUUGUGGAAUUUUAGCCUUUGGGUUGACUUUGGUCAACGUUUGGGAGUCAAAUCCUCGGAUCGUAAUUCCAAGUGUUCCGUUGGAUUUUAGGAUGAUUUUAGGCCUAAGUGAGGUCGUGGUUGAUUUGUGAGAGGUCCCGAGCUUGUUUUAGCUUUUUUAGCUAUGAGUUAGUUUCUUGUGGUUUUCACGGGUGUCGGGUCAAGGAGAGACCUCAAAUUCGUGUUUUGACGGUUCCAGUGAGUCCGGAAUGUCAAGUAUAAUUGAUUUGCAUAUGUGGUUUGUGUGCAUGGGGUUCCGAAUGAAUCCGAGAGUCCUUUCGAGGUUUAGAGUGUUGGCUGAUUUUCUGAUGUCUGAGUUCUGGUGCGCUUCGCUUUUGCGAGAGAUGGCUCGCUUUUGUGAGGCUCACUUCAGUGAGGUUUGGGUCACUUUUGCGAAGGGUCAACCCCUGUUGACCUUCGCAUUUGCGAAGAAACCAUCGCUUAAGCUACCUUUUCUUCAGUGUAGGUCUUGUUGUAGAAGUGAGGCAAAGCAAACCCCUGAUUGCUUUUCUGACAUCAGAGAGGGUUUUUGCUUGCCAUUUUGGGGUUUAAGCCCCAUUUUUGAGUUUGGGAGCUUUGAGGUGGCAAUUUGCACUAGGUUUUCGAGGAAAAUUUUUUGGGUAACGAUUCUUUAACUCUUUUCUUUUAACUUUAAAUUGGCCCAUAUAGGCCAUAAAAUGAAUAAAAGAGUAGGGAUAAAACCAAUUGCAAGAAGCAAACUUAAAGGAGCCCAAAUGGCCCAUAUAUGUAUUAGGAAACAAAAGUUAUAUGUUGUAUCAAAGUCCAACACUCUCUUCUUCAAUACAAAUUUUCGGCUCACUUGAUGAAGAUUGAGUGGUCUUCUCUGACCGGUGUCCGCUGCGAUGCACAUGUACAUCUCGACCCUUUCCUUUCCUCUUCUCUUCAGCUCCGAUGGUCUUCUCCGAUCAGCCCAACUACCAGGUACCUUCCGACCCCCUUCAAUCAUUUAUAUAUCAUUGUUCUUGAUUUAAGAAUUAGAAUGAGGUAGUUUUCAACGAACUUAAAUUCUUCCCCUUUUUUGAUUAAUCAAUUGGCUGAAUUUCAAAUGAAAUUAAUGCCACCAUCAGAUCUAUCAUCCAAAGAGUUGAAUCUAGUGUUCUUGAAAGACCUUUAGAUGUAUGAUCUUGAGAUUAGGAUUAUCAUGUCAAACAAGUUAGCAUAACAGUGUUGUCCUCUAGUAGCAACAAAGUUUUGAUUUGGUACAUAUAACACCUCCAAAGCUCUCACCAGGUGCAAAUACACAAAUCAUUAGAAAUUCUUCCAACUUUGGAGCUUUAACAAGAUUGCAACUAUUGUUAAUUAUGUACUUGCUAGGAAUAUUCAGCUUAUUUCAAGUAAAACUAUGGAAACACAAAAAUUAAAUCGCAUCCGAGACUUGCCUUCUUACAUGAGGUAUACCUAAUUUAUCUAGUUGUAGAAUCUUUCAUCUUGCUGCUGGCAUAUCCUGGACUUGAUUGGUUAAAAUCAAAAACCAUAUUAGCAAAAAAAAUCAGCGCAUUUCCUUCCCGUAGGGAAUGUUGCACUCUUGUUGAUACAAAUCUCCGCAAUCUUAUAAUAUGAUUCACCUCCAAUGCCACACUCCAUGGGGGUUUCCAUGUUCCUUCUAAUAUCUGCACCAUGGCCAUGGAAUAUGAUUCAAUGCUGAUAUUAGUAAGCCUCCGAUCUUUACAAUAUUCCAAGCAUUCCCAAAUUUCUCUAGCUUCUGCAACCAAAUUAGUAGUCUCCUGAAUUUUAAUACCUUUGGCCACCACCAAAUUCCCAAAAUGAUCCCUUGUACAAAAAGCAGAAGAACUUGGUCCUGGGUUACCUCUUGAUGCUCCAUCAAUAUUACACUUAAGCCCAAUGAUCAGGGGGAGGGGACCAUCUCACAAUUCUAAUGAUUUAACAUGGACUAUAACCUUCAAAUCCUUCAAUCAUACCUGGCCAAUUGCUGUCCCAUCUGAUCUUAAAUCUGGGCAUAAUAAAUUGACUAAUAAUAGCAGUGACAUCUCUAAUAAUCUUAGCAUUAGAAAAAAAACCCUCCAUGAAGGAUAGUGUUCCUUCUUUUCCAUAAGAACCAAAGAAUGAUCAUAGGCACCACGAGAAUUACCUCUUUCAAUUAAACAUUCCCAUUUGUGCUCUACCAAUUCCUUAUAUGUUGUUUCAGAUAGGGUGAUUCGAUUAUACCUACAACUCUAUUGAAAUAAGACCAUAUGCUCUUUGCUACUUCUCCAUUAUAAAAAAGAUGGUCAAUAGUUUCUCUUUCUGGAUUUGAACAACGUCUAUAAUUUGGAGAAAUGUCUAAGUUCUAAGAAUUCAUUUAGUGAGCCACUGGAACUUUACCUUGCCAAACUCUCCAAGCAAGAAAAGAAAUUUUGUAAGGUAAAUCCUUUCUCCAUAGAUUUUUUCAAAUCCAUAUUAAUAUCUCAUUUCAUUCUCAAUAAAUCCCAAGCACUCUUAAUACUGAAGCAACCUUACUACUUUUAGUCCACCAAGGUUUAUCCUUGAUAUCAACAAACUGAGCAGUGGCUAAAUUAUUUUUAACAUGCUCCACUACAUAAUCUGGAAGCUUGUCUUGCAUCACAUCAUAGUCCCAACCUUCUUGUGUAAGAAAUUCUUUUAUAUCACUCAUCCCGUAACAAAUCUGUAGAGUUGAAUGAUGCAUAAAUAGUGGAACAAGAUUUGUCCAAUUAUUGUACCAGAUGUUUGAGGUAUCUCCUUUUUGUUCCCACCACAAGAACUAUUCUAUCUUUUCUCUAUUUUCUAACAUGAAUUGACACAUUUGAGAUCCUCCUUUCCACUGAACAGGAGAUGGGAUAUGCUUUUUUACAGUAUUUGUUCCAUAGGAAAUUAGACAACAAACUUUUUUGUGUUCAAAAUCUCAAUCAAAGCUUAGCAUACAUAGCUUGGGACACAUCAAACAUUGAUCUAAAUCCAAGUCCUAUUUCCUGCUAUGGUAGACAAAUUUUAUCCCAUGUUGACCAAUACUUGUUUCUGCCUACUUCCUUAUUGCUUCAAAAGAACUUUGCAAUAAUAUUGUGAAGAUCUCUAAUAACACAAAGUGGAGGAACAAUUGUUGAUAGAACAUAAAUAGGAAUACUCUGAAGUACACUAGUGAGAAGUACUUCCUUACCACCAUAUGUCAACAUCUUACCCUUCCAAGCUUACAGUUUCCUUUUCAUUCUCUCUAUAAGAUCAACAUAGUCUUCUUUUCAUUUCUUUUUGUGAGUGAUUGGAAAACCUAAGUACUUCAUAGGAAAAGAGCCCUUUUCCAUACAUGUAACUACACAAUCAAAGAAGAUAUGUUCAAUGCCACUUUUUGAUGGAGAUAGUAAAACUCUUCCCCUUAUUAAUUUUUUGUCCAGAAUGCUUCUCAUAUUCCUGCAAUACAAAAAUAAUCCUUUCUAGGAAUACACAUCAGUGAAAAAUAAUAAUAGUGUCAUUUGCAUAUGCAAGGUGGUUCAGUUUAGCACUCCAUUUCGGCAUCCCAUACCCUACAUAUUGAUUAUCAUCAAACAAAUGAUUGAGGGCUCCAGUGAGAACUUCUGUAGAUAGAAUAAUUAGGGCAGAAGAUAGAGGAUCCCCUUGUUUCACUCCCCUGGUUGAAUGAAAGAAACCAUGUGGAUGACCAUUUAUAAGCACAGAGUAAUAAUUAUUGGAAAUCAAUCUCCAUAUCAAGUAAACAAAGAUGUUAGAAAACCCCAUUUUCUCAUCACCUUCAUUAGGAAGAACCAUGACACCCUAUCAUAAGAUUUAGUCAUAUCAAGAUUAAUCACCACGUUGGAAGGUUUACCUCUCUUACUGAUAUUUGUAACCAGCUCUUGAGUAAGAAGGAAAUUCUCAAUAAUACUUCUUACUUUGACAAAACCAGAUUGAUUACCUGAGAUGAUCUUAGGUAAUAAAGCUUCUAGUCUGUCAUGAAUGAUUCUAUAAAGGAUCUUGUUAAUAAAGUUACUCAAAGUAAUUGGUCUCAUAUCUGAAAAAGUUUUCACAUUUUCUUCUUAGGUAUAAGGAUCAAAUUAGUAUGAGUAAUAGAUUUAGAGAGAAAAUUGCGAGUAAAAAAAAUCAUGAACCAUUUUGAUAAUAUCAUAUCCAAUAGUGUCCUAACAUGUUUGGUAGAAUAUGCAUGAAAGACCAUCUGGUCCACUUGAACUAUCCCCAUUAAGUUUGAAUACUGGAUUCUUCACUCAAUACUGUCACGAAUAGCCUGUAAUUUAACAUUUUCCUCUUCACUCACCAUUUUUGGAAUAUGAGCUAAUGGAGUGAAGUCAGUUGAAUCUCUAUCCUGUAAAAAAUGAUUUUGAUAAAACUGAACAACCUCAUUAGCAAUUUCCCCUUGAUCUACUAACCAACACCAAUCUUCAUCAACUUCAGCUUCUGCCUUCUCCCUUUCACCAAAGUAUGAAAGAAUCUGGUAUUUCUAUCUCCAUUCACAAAUCAUUCAUAUUCUGCUUUCGGCUGCCAAAAAGAUUCUUCAAGAUAAAGGUAUUUAGUGUAUUCAACCUUAGCUCUUCGCAUCACUGUCCUAUUCUCCUCAGAAGGGUCAUCUUCAAACAAUUUCUCCUUUAGUUUGGCUAUCUCUUCCCUUAUUAUUAAUUGUUGAAAGAUAUCACCAAAAGUGGCUCUGCUCCACACUGAUAGACCGUGUUUUAUAUUCUUAAUCUUCUUCUUAAUAUCUAAAAAAGGAUCAGCUGAAAUUUCUGCAUCCCAAUUAAGACUUACCACCUUCUUAAAAUCUUCAUGAGCAGUCCAAAAUUUAUGAAAUCUAAAGGAUUUCUUAAAACUGGAGGAGUUGUUAGUACAAUUAAGGAGUAGAGGAGCAUGAUCUGAUCCAUUUCUAGCAAGAUUUCCAAUCUUAGCGUGAGAAAAAAAAUCUUGAAACUCAGAAUUAAUCAAUAUUCUGUCAAGCCUUUCAAAAAUACAAUCAACGCCUACUCUUCCAUUCCACAUAUGUGAAAGGGCUACCCUUAAAGAAAACUUGUAUUAACUCUAAAUCUUCAAUUACUCAUUAUUAUUUAUGAAUUUAUGUGUUCAAAUUAAGCUUUGAAAUGAGAAAUUUGGGAUUAUCUUCAAGAACCCAAGAAUUUAAUAAAUGGUGAUUUUGAAGUGGUUUUGAUCCCUUUUUCAAAUUGGGUUUCACUAAUGAGUUCCUAAAGCCUUAAAAAUCAUUUUCAAGUAUUGUUUUUUAGAUUCAAACAUCCAUUGAAAUUAGAUUUUGAGUUGAUUGACCCAUUUUUUUACAUAAUUGAUGUGGGAAUUGUUGUUUCCGAUGAAUGAUUGUAAAUACCUGAUUAUUAUAGAUUGUGUGGAUUUGGAAGUGAUUUGGAAGGGGAAGACACAAAUCUUAGAGUGAUUGUUGAUUGAUUUAAGGUAAGUGGCUUCUUAAACCUUGUAUUCUAGUAGAAUUAGUGUACUUCCUUCAUUGAUUGUGUGCUGGGAGUAAUUGGGGUAAGGUGAAGGGUUUAAAUUGUCCACUUGUUAUAUCUAAAUGAAUAUAAAGGGGUGAAAUGAAUACAGUUAUGUGAUGAACAUGAUGAUUUAAAUUGUCUUAUUACGACCUUUGUUGAUUGAUUGAUGAAAUGCUUGAAAGUAUGAUUGUGGACUGGAAUUAAAUGAUUUGUUGUCUGUUCCGUGUGGUGUGAUAUUGGUUGUGUGCAUUGAUUGUGAACACUGUGAAGACAUGUGAUGAUUCAUAAUGCGGAGGUCUUUACCGAUGAGCGUUGUAAUGCCGAGUUCAUUUCUGGAGAAGUGUUUAUAAAACCGAUGGAAAAUUGUUCCGACUAGUGAUAUAAAGCCGAUGGGAAAUGGUUCCAGCUAGCGAUGUAAAGCCGAUGGAAAAUGGUUCCGGCUAAUGAUAUAAAGCCGAUGGGAAAUGGUUACGGCUAAUUAUUUGAUAUAAAGCAGAUGGAAAAUAUUUUCGUCUAGUGAUUUGAUAUAAAGCUGAUAGGAAAUGAUUUCAGUUAGUGAUUUUUGUGCCGAUGAGAAAUGGUUCAAGUGAGAGAUUGAUCAUUGUCCCCGAGGUAGGUGAGCUGAUUAGACUGAUUCUUGAGGAGGCACAUUGUUCCCGAUAUUCCAUCCAUCCGGGUACAACAAAGAUAUAUCAUGACCUGAGCCAGCACUAUUGGUUGUGUGGUAUGAAGAGAGAUAUUGCAGAUUUUUUUCGAGGUGUUUGACUUGUCAACAGGUCAAGUGUGAGCACCAACGACCUGGAGGUAUAUCUCAGAGGAUUCAUAUUCCUACUUGGAAGUGGGAGCAGAUCACUAUGAACUAUGAUUUAGGACUACCUACCACUGUGAGUGGUAAUGACCGCAUUUGGGUGGUUGUCGAUCGGUUGACCGAAUCUCCCAUUUCAUCCUGGUUCAGUAAAGUAUACAUUGGAAAAGUUAGUCAAGCUUUAUAUCAGCCAGAUUGUGUGAUUGCAUGGAUUCCUAGUUUCUAUUCUCUCUAAUUGAGGUUUUAUUUUCACAUUCCAUUUCUGGAAAGCUUUGCAGCAUAGUUUGGGUACUCGGUUAGAUAUGAGUACAACUUGUCAUCCUCAGAAAGAUGGUCAGCCUGAGCGGACGAUUUAAGUGUUGGAGAACAUGCUCCGAGCUUGUGUGAUUGAUUUUGGUGCUAGAUGGGAUCAACAUUUUCCCUCAUCAGAGUUUGCCUAUAACAAUAGUUGUCAUUCCAAUAUUCAGAUAACCCCUUUUGAGGCGUUGUAUGGCAGAUGGUGUAGAUCUCUGAUCAGAUGGUUUGAUUCAGCUGAGAUGGAUUAAUUAGAUACAGACUUGCUUAAAGAUGUUAUUGAUAAGGUUUUUACAAUCCAGGGUAGACCGUUGACAGCCUAAAGUUGAUAGAAGUGAUAUGCGGAUUGGAGAGAUUGAGCCCUAGUAUUCAUCAAGGGUGAUCAUGUUUGGCUUCAAGUGUCACUUAUGAAUGGUGUGAUGAGGUUCGAAAGAAGGGAAGCUUAGCCCUAGAUUCAUUGGAACCUUUGGUAUCUUGAGUCGCGUGGGAGAGGUGGCCUAUAAGUUGGCCUUGCCACCUAGUUUGUCAGUUGUGCAUCCUAUGUUUCAUGUUUCCAUGCUUCGAAAUUAUGUGUCGGAUGAGUCCCAUGUACUUUCCCUUGAUUCAGUUGAGUUGGGUCUAGACUUAUCUUUUGAGGAGGAGCCUAUAGCCAUUUGGAUAGGCAGGUCCGGAAGCUUAGGACCAAGGAAAUCAGUUCAAUGAAGGUGCAAUGGAAGCAUCGUUCAGUUAGAGAGGUGACCUGGGAGACUAAGUUAGAUAUGUGUGCUAGAUAUCCUCUAUUUUUUAAGCUCUAUGUAUUUUCUUUUGCUUUAUGUUCAAGGACGAAAAUGGUUUUAAGUGGUGGAUAAUAUAUGACCCAAUUGGUCAUUUUUUUUAAAAUUCAUGAAUUUACCAUCUUCUAUAAUUCAGUUUAAAAAGUUGGUUUUCAAAUUUGAGUUAAGAGUUGAGAAUUUGGUAAGUUUUGAGUUGGAAAGGCUAAGUUGUUAAGAAAGUGUUUUCCGGUGUCUUUUGGAGUUUCAAGUGUCGGAAUGAGAUUCUGUUGAUUCCAUCAGUCCCGUAAUGUGAAAUCUGGUACGAGAGAGUUGUCAGGUUUUUAUUACAAGUCUUUUUGAGGAUUUGAGGUCCUAAGUUGUGAAAUUGUGGAAUUUUAACUUUUGAGUUGACUUUGGCCUACAUUCGGGGUUCAGAUACUUGGAUCGGAAUUCUGAGAGUUCUGUUGGAUUUAGGGGAUGAUUUUAGGCCUAGGUAAGGUCCUAGUUGAUUUUUGAGAGGUCCCAAGUUAGUUUUAGCCUUUUAGGCAUGAGUUAGUUUCUUGUGGUUUUCACAGGUGCCAGGUCAAGGAGACCUAAGAUUCCUAUUUUAACGGUUUCAUUGAGUCCAAAAUGUCAAGUAUAAUUUAUUUGAAUAUGUUGUUUGUGUGCACGGUGUUCCGAACAAAUCCUGAGAGUCCUUUCGAGGUUUAGAGUGUUGGUUGAUUUUCUGAUGUCUGAGUUCUAGUGCGCUCUGCUUUUGCGAGAGAUGGCUCACUUUUGUGAGGAUCACUUCAGCAAGGUUUGAGUCUCUUUUGCUAAGGGUUAACCCCUAUUGACCUUUGCAUUUGCGAAGAAACCAUCGCUUAAGGACCUUCACUUUUGGUCGUAGGAGAGAGGCCCGCAAAGCGAACCCCUCUCGCUUUUACAACAUCAAAGAGGGUUUUCGGAACCAUUUUGGAUUACCAUAUUUUUACCAUUUUUGAGUUUUAGGAGCUUUCGGGUGGCGAUUUGGACAAGGUUUUUGGAGGAAAAUCUUUGGGUAACGAUUCUUAACUCUAAAUCUUCAAUUACCCAUUAUUAUUUAUGGAUUUAUGUGUUCAAAUCAAGCUUUGAAAUGAGAAAUUUGGGGUUAUCUUCAAGAACCCAAGAAUUUAAUAAAAUAUUGAUUUUGAAGUGGUUUUGAUCUCCUUUUUUGAAAUGGUUUUCAGUUAUGAGUUUCUAAAGCCUUAAACAUCAUUUGCAAGUGUUAUUUUCUUAAUUCAAACCUUGAUUUUGAAAUUGGGUUUUGAGUUGAUUGACCCAGUUCUUUACAUAAUUGAUGUGGGAAUUUUUGUUUCUGAUGAGUGAUUGUUAAUAAUUUAUUAUUAUAGAUUGUGUGGCUUUGGAAGUGAUUCAGAAGGGAAAGAUUCAACUCUUGGAGUGAUUGUUGAUUGAUUUAAGGCAAGUGGCUUUAUAAACCUCGUAUUAUAGUAAAUAAAUUCAUGUACUUCCUUCGUUGAUUGUGUGUUGGGGGUAAUGGUGAUGAGGUGAAGGGUUUAAAUUGUCCAGUUAUUAUAUCUAAAUGAAUAAAAAGGGGUUGAAAUGGAGAAGGUUUUAUAAUGAACAUGAUGAUGUGAAUUACCUUAUUGUAUGAUUGUGGACUUGAAUUGUAUGAUUUGUUGUCUCUUCUGUAUGGUGUGAUAUUUCUUAUGUGCAUUGAUUGUGAAUAUCGUGAUGAUUCAUUAUGCCGAGGUCUUUGCCGGCGAGUGUUGUGAUGUCGAGGUCAUUUCUGGAAAAAUGUUUAUAAAGACAAUGGGAAAUGGUUUCAGCUAGUGAUAUAAAGUCGAUGGAAAAUGGUUACGGCUAGUGAUGUAAAGUCGAUGGGAAAUGGUUUCAGCUAGUGAUAUAAACCGAUGGGAAAUGGUUCCGGCUAGUGAUAUUUUGCUGAUGGAAAAUAGUUCUGGUGAGAGAUUGAUCAUUGUGAAUUGAUGCAUUUGAGGCCUAUGCGUGACUUGUUUGCUAAUUAUGAUUGAUGUACUUGUUCCGUGUAACUGAACUACUUGACAUUGACAUUGACUUAUUUGACUUUUUUGAUGGUUGAAUUAUGAAGAUUGAACUCUGGAUAUUGGGCCUUUUGAGCCGUGUAUUGUAGAAAUUCUAGGUUGGGUUGAUUUAUUUGUAGGUUGUAGUUUGAGGAGGUUCAGUUAGAGUGCAGAGGAUAUUUGUUUUCUAGCUAGAUGCCUUGUUUUCUAGGUUGCUUGCUGGGUACCGUGUUUUUGGUACUCACCCCUUGCUUCUACACUUAUGUAGGUUUUGAGUUCGGACCCGUGUGAUCUUCUUCUUUUCUCCUAACAGUCGAGGCUCAUCGAAGGAUUUGAGAGGAAGUUGUUUGUCAUCAUGAUGGACCCUCUUUUCCUUUCCUUUAAUCUUCUUCCUACUUGAGAAACAAAGACUGAGACUUAUAUUUAUCUUUUGAAUUCUGUAUUUUUGUUAGUGGCUUGUACACUUGACAACUAGGUUUUGGGGUAUUGUUUAGAAUGAAUAAGUUUUCUGCCCUUGUCUUAUUCUUGCUUUAUAUUUCUGCAUUUCUUUAGUUCUCGUUGGGUUGAGGUUGACUUGGGAGAAGGCAAGUGUCAUCAUGUUGGGUUUUGAUGAGUCGAGUAUGUUUCAAACUGUAUUAGUGAUCGAAUCAUAUAUCAUGCAGAGAGAAUUCAGAUAAGUGGAAAUUAUAUAACUAGAGAAGUUUUCAACUAUGUAUACUGAUAAGGAGUAUUCCGAGUAGGACAAAGGAGAAUUUUGGGAUGUUAGGGUAUAUUAGUGGUACUGCAUGUGCGAACCUUGUUGAGAGUGCUUGUAUGAGAUCUAUCAUGGGAAAUUUUAGUUUCCCGAUUGCCUUGGUAUUUAUCUUGUCGUUUAGUACACGUUUCAACUAAAUGUGAUUGACUUUAAGGGCUAUUUGGCCUAGUUUUGCCGUUUUCAGAAUUUGUUUACUAUCACAACUACUAUUCCAACAUCCCGACAGUGUUAUUACAUAUGCUUGGGUGUAUCGUUCCCUGGGUGGUUACUGGAUCAUCUCAAUCUUUGGGUUAUAUUAAUUGGGACCUCCCUUCCUGCUAUGAGUGUUUGGUGGUUCGUUUUGGCUUAGCUUAAUGUUUUAGCAGGUAUUAGUUCAGAAUUUCUUGUGGUUAUGUGGGAAAAUGAUUCAACUUAAUGGUUGUGUUGUGGUUUAGAGAGUUUCGAUUCAGGUUUGGUUCAUGGGUUAGUCCGUGGCUUGGUAAUCACUCCUGGUUUGCAGUUUUUUUCAAUUUUGGGUUUGGAAGUUCAAGUCUUGACAGUUGAUCCUGAUGGUAUGGUCCUACGAAUAAGUUCACUUCGGAAAGCAAAGGCUGACUUUGGAAAUUAGGCCUCAUGAUCUAAGUAACUUCGAGUAUUCUUCUUUAGCCUUCUUUAUGUUUGGGAUGAACAUGGUUUUUAAUAGUGGAUAAUGUAAUGACCCUGAAGGUCAUUUUUUGAAAAUUAUUAUUUUUACCCCUUUAGAUUGUUAACCCGAGUCUUAUUUGAACAGUUUGUGAAGCUGGUUUUGAAAUUUGAUUGUAAAGUUGUGAUUUUUGGAAGUUUUAGAGUUUUGGAGAAUUGAAGUUGUUAAAAGUGAUUUUGUUAACAAUCGGAGCUAUGAGUCUCGGAGUGGAAUUCUGUCAAGUCCAAUAGCUCUGGAAUGUGAAUUUUGAGUUAGUAGGACUAUUGGCUCAAGUCUUGAGGUAUUUAGAUGAGUUUUGAAAGAGCUUUUGUGUUUUGAAAGUUUCAAAUCAUAAGAUAGUUGACCAAAGUCAAAAUUUGGUGAUAGUGGUCUAGAUGUAUUGUUAGUUUGGGUCCCAAGGCUUUUGGUUUGAUUUUGAUCCAUUAUACCAGAUGUGGAAAAAGUUAAGGCUAAAGUUUGACUUUAGUCAACGUUUAAGGUUAGAAAGAUUAUUUUCGUGUUUUGAUGAUUUCACUAUGUCCAAAUGGUGAUACUUGACCUAGUUGAAGGCUUGGUUGAAUUUCUGAAGCUUUUGGAUUAAUUCCAUUUUCUUAUUUGGAAAUUCGGAGUUUCUUAAGUUAAAGUUGACUUUGGUCAACAUUAGGUUAAGGUGACCUAGUUUGGAUGUUUUGAUGAUUCCAUUGAGUUUGAAUUAUAAUUUUCAAGCUAGAAACAUAUUUGGUUUGUGUUCAGAAGGUUCCAAAUGAGUUUUGGGUGAGUUUCAAGUUUUUAGGGUGCCUUGGCGUUGUUUCAGCAAUUUGCGUCAACUAAAAGGUUUGUUAUUAGUUUUAAAGAAUGAAAAAUUAUUUCGAAACUUCUGAAGGUUUUAAGCAUGAAUUAUAUGUCUGAUCUGCAAAGUUUGGUGCAUUUCUGCUAAGUCGAGAUUGGACUUUUAUUGUAAUAUAUGAAAUACUUGUUUUUUUAAAAAUUAAAACAGGACCAAAGGUCCACUCUGUUAACUCAAAUGGAAACAAAGCCCAAGUCUAAAAUGAAACAAAAAAAAAAAAACAGAAAAACGCCAAGACAACAAAAAUUAAAAAAGAAACAAACACAUACAGACAAAGCCCAAAAUAUCCGUCCGAGAAAGCUGAUGUCACCGGAGAAGCUAGAUUCGCACUCCAGUAAGCUCCAGUCUCCAUUCCCAGAUCGACGGGACGAAGGCAAUAUCCACGAGCUUGGGUGAAUUUCAUUCAGCAUUUACCAAGUCUCACCAAUGUUAUGAAAUCAACACCUUUGAAGACUUCUUCAGCUCCCAGCUUGUCCUCAACCACGACAAAUCCAGGUAUGACCCUUCUCGUACCACCUACUUCAUGAAAGACUCAUUCUGAGCUUUAUGCUAAUCUUUUCCCAUGUCUUGUGCAGAUUGAGCUCCAUAGAGCUGAUACCACUGCCUCAAUUCAUGUUCAAGAUCAGUACCCACCCCUAUGUCCAAGGUAACUCUCAAACUUUGAAAAAUUUGGCAGUCUUUGUACAACUGAACUGUGAUUAAAUCUUCUGUUUUGAAUUCGUUUUAUCAUUAUGAUCUACACAACUUGUUUUUACCCUUCUUGAUUCUUAUAUUUGGGGUUCCUUACUUAUUCAACUGUAGAAUUGCUUUUACUUGUGCUGGUAGUUCAUUUUUGUGGUUAAAAUGAAUGGAAUUUGUACCUGCAAAAUUAACAACCAUGUUAGUUUUUUGAGAUAAAACAACCAUGUUAGUUAAAUAAUCUGCAAGCUUAUUCCCUUCUCUGAAUGUAUGCAAUACUAUCACAUCCUUGUUCUCCAUUGCCUCCCUAAUCUCUCUAAUGUUUACUGAGAUAGUCUAGCGCACUUCCCAAAUUCCAUCCAAAAUCCACUUAAUGAUUAAAGAAUUUGUUUCCAUUAUAAGAGGGAGGAGAUUAUGACUCAAGCAAUGUAGCAGACCCCCUUUAAAGCCUUUCACUUCUGCCUCUAAUGCAGAAUAACCAUCAGUUUUCCAUGCUUCAACAUACACCAAAUCUCCAUGCUCAUCUCUAAUGUAAAAUGCAUUUGACCCAAUUCCUCUACCUGAAUUGCAUUUGUAACUAUCCCCUUUAGGACACUUCUACCUUACCAUUGUGGUAUUUAUUAAUGGUAUGUAGCUCUCCAGAAAUUGUACAAUGGCUGGCCAACUGUUAGGCAUUUUUGCUAACCAGAGGUAUAUUAUUUUUGCCAUUAGAUGAAUAUUUCUUUUAAUCUCCAAAACCAUGGAAUGUAUAGUCAUACUUCCCCAUGUAAGAUCAUACUUCUUCUUUUCCACACUUGCCAAAUGAUGAAGCUUGGUACUGCUCUGCACAAAAGAAUCAACUUAGGUGCACAAUUUCAUCCCACUACUUAUAUAUGGUAUGUUUCAUCUGAUUAAAUGGACCCUGCAUACCAAUAGCUCCAGCAAACAACUUCCAUAGAUAAUUGGCAUCAUGACAUAGGACAAACAAACGGUUAAACGAUUCUGAAAUGUUAUUUUCACAACAACAACAUUCCAUCUUAUCAGUUAUCAUGUUUCUAACCAGGACCUCUCCAAUUGGAAUUCUCUUAAACUAUAUUCUCCACAUCAGAAAAGAGAUUUUGAAGGGUAAUCCUUUUUUUCCAAAUAAACAUAAUAUCCUUCUGAGGGUAUUUUCUGCUUCUGAUAAUCUCCCAUGCACUCCCUACAGUGAACAACCCUUUACUACUAGGCAUCCACCACUGCUUGUCCCUAUCUUUUGUCUGCUGAAUGUGACCCAUGACAUGAGUCACAUGAUCAAAAAUAUUUUACCUAUAAGCUCUGUCAUCAGGUCAUUAUUCCACCUUUCAUCCACUCUAAGUUGAUUAACUUCUUCAAAAUUCCCAUCCAUAACAUGGCCAAUAGGCAUAAUAUAUUGUAAUGCUCCAAGUUGUGUCCAAUUAUCAUGCCAUAGGCUGGCAUGUCCACAUCUAGGUUCUCACCAUAUUUCUUGAUCAAAACUAUCUCUAGCCAUUAACAUCAUCUUCCAAACUUCAGAUCCCCCCUUCCAUUCCACCACUUGAGGUUUAAACCUCUUGCAGUACUUGUUCCACAUAUAAUAAGCCCAUAGAGAAGCUUUAGUUCUAAACUAACACCAAAGCUUUGCAAAUACAACCUUGGACACAUCAAAAAGGGAUCUAAAGCCAAGCCCCCAAUUCUUCUUUAGGCAGACAAGUGUCAUCCCAUGCUAUCCAGUGCUUUGCCCUGCCAUUUUCUUUGAAAUUCCAUAGGAAUCUUGCAAAAAUACUCUGAAUGUCCUUAAUUACACAUAUUGGUGGCACAAGAACUGACAACACGUAUAUAGGUAGACUUUGUAACACAUGUUUGAUCAAUACCACCUUACCACCAAAAGACAAAAGCUUACCUUUCCAGACUUGCAACUUGUUCUGAACUUUCUUAAUCAGAUCAUUCAAGUGUGCUUUCUUCAUUCCGGCAUGACUGAGAGGGCACCCUAAGUAGAUUAUUGGAAAGUUACCUCUCACAAAACCUGUAGCUUCCUCCAUUUCCCUUAUAAGAGCAUUGCUAGCUUUACUGAACAUGUAGAAAUAACUUUUAUCCUUAUUAAUCUUCUGUCUAGACUGAUUUUCAUACUCCUUUAAGACAUUCAUUAUCAGUUCAAUAGUUUUCUCUUCUGCAGAAGCAAAUAUGAUAGUAUCAUAACAUAAGCAAGAUGAUUUAGCUUCUCACUCCACUUUGACAUCCCAUAACCUAUAAAAUCAGUGUUCUGGAAGAGUUAGUUUAGUGCUCUUGAGAGUAUCUCUGCUGUAAUGAUAAAUAAAGCAGGGGAUAGAGGAUUCCCUUGCUUCACCCCUCUAGUUGAGUGAAAGAACCCAUGUGUUUGCCCAUUAAGUAGUACAGAGUACCAGUUGUUAGCAAUCAAUCUCCAAAUUUUGUCAACCACCCUUGAAUUAAAUCACAUCUGCCCCAAAACUUUCACUAAUAAGCUCCAAUUCACUCUAUCAUACGCCUUAGCCAUGUCCACCUUUAUCGCAACAUUGGAUGGUUUUCCCCCUCUUCAUUAUAUCUGAGAUAAUUUCCUGAGCCAACAAAAUAUUUUCAGAAAUACUUCCACCUUUCACAAAGCCAGAUUGAUUCACAGAAAUUAAUCUUGGUAGCAAGCCCUCCAAUUUAUCAUGCAUGAGCCUAGAAAUCAGUUUGUUUAUGAAAUUACUGAAACUAAUUGGUCUUAAGUAUGUGAAAGUCUGAAUAUUCUCCUUGUUAGGCAAUAAUACCAAAUUAUUAUGCGUAAUCGAAUUGGGAAGAGUAUUCCCCACAAAGAAAGCUUGAACAAUACUCAGAAUAUCAACCCCAACAAUCUCCCAACAUACUUGAAAGAAGUGACCUGUAAAACCAUCCGAGCCACAAUCAUUCUCCCCAUUAAGCUCAAAGAUCACCUUUUUUACCUCAGUUUUAUCAGGAGUCAUAUUCAGCAAUUCAUUAUCCUCUGUAGUCACCAGUGGCUGAAUAUUUUGUAGUAGAGAGUAAUCUAUGUUUAAGUCAUUUCCAGAGAACUGAUUCUGGAAAAUUCUUAUAGCUUCAGUUGCAACUGCAUCUUCACCUUCUGCCAAUUGUCCAUCUGCUUUCAUAAUUUUCUGUAAAUUCAAUCUCCUCCUCCUAUCUCUUACCCAACCAUGAAAAAACUUGGUAUUUUUAUCCCCCUCUGAAUACCACUGAAUGCUUGCCUUUUGCCUCCAAAACUCUUCUUUAUAAUGUAGGUAGAGCUGUCAAAAUGGGUUGGUCCAACCCAACCCAACCCAACCCAAUCCUAACGGGCUAGAGAGUUAAAUGGGUUGGACGGGCUGACCCUUUUAAUUAAAGGGCCGAUAAAAUAGCAGCCCAACCCAGCCCUAAGCGAGCCACGGGUUGGGACGGGUUGGUCCUUCAACCAAAAAACGGACAACAUUUUUCCUCUUAGAAAGGAUCCGAACGUUGAUGUCCGAUGGACACGACAUCAAUACAUACAUAAAUUCAUUCAUGAAUUACACAUUCUCCAGUGGAUAUUUACAAAACAAAUACAUAAUAGUCAAGAUACAACAUUCAUAAGAUUCAUCCGAGCAAAAAAACAUUGUAUGAUCAUUAUUUUCAUAAACAAGACAAUAAAUGAGAAGUGAAAAACUAGGCAUAAAAACAAAAGUAAAAGAGGUCAAAGAUUCAUAGUUAUAAUGGAGUAAUGAAUUUGCGCUAAUAAGGAAAUUUAGUGGGCUAAUGACCCUAAAAUGUAAAAGAUAUGUAAAAAAUAUAGUCUUGAUUUUAUAUUGAUAUUUUAAAAAUAUUUAUUGACAGUUUUAACAAGUAAAACACUACUUAAAAUAUAUAUAAUAAAUAUUUUUUAAAUUCACAGCCCGCGGGCUGGCCUCUGAGGCUUGCGGGUUAGGCCUACGAGGCCAGCGGGACAAAUGAGGCUGGGCUAAAAAGCCUCGUUCCUAAAUGGGUUGAAAAAAUCGAGCCCAACCCCAUUUAAUUCAAGGGUUGGGUUGGGCCGGCCUAGCGGGCCAAGCCCAUUUUGACAGCUCUAAAUGUAGGUAAAGUUUAUAUUCAGCAUGAGCUUGGUUUAACACAACUUUAUUAUCUGUAGUAGGACUAUGCUCAAAUAGUUCUUCCUUCAACCUAACUAUUUCUUCUCUUAUUAGUAGAUGCUUGAAAAUGUCCCCAAACUGCUCUCUACUCCAUUUAGACAGAGCCAGCUUUGUCUUCUUUUGUUUCAACUUCCAUUGUAAAAACACAUCAUCAGAAUACUGUCCACGUCAGUUAGCCUUUACCAUAUCUUUAAAAUCUGCCCGCCCUGUCAGUCCAAAAUUUUAAAAACCUAAAUGGUUUUUUAAAACUUUGAGACAAACCUCCAUAUGUUAGUAACAAAGGUGCAUGGUCAAACCCAGUCCUUGCUAAAUGCUCAAUGCCACUGUUCCUAAGAGUUCUUGUAGCUCAGAAUUAAUCAUCACCAUGUCUAGCCUUUUAAAAAUACAAGCUUCAUCAACUCUCCCAUUCCACCAAGUAAAAGGACUAUCAGAGAAAUUUAUAUCAAACAACUCACAAGAAUUAACACAAGAAAUCUCCCCCAUUUAACCAUGGUCCUUGUAGCGACCCUUCCGAAAUAAUAUAAGCCAAUAACUCACGAGAUUUUUAUGCAUAUAUUGUCCUCACACUAGUAAAAAUGACAUAAAAAGAAUAUUACCAACUUCCGAGUACCCAAACUAGGUCGUUCAUGCUUCACACAAUCAUUCAAAAUUAGUGGUAAAUUUAAUAUAUUACAAGACUUGGGCUUACACACCCCAAAAGAACCAAACAUAUAGACAUACUUAUAUUACAACCCAUGGUGACAUGAUCAAAUUAGUCCUCAAAAUUUCCUGUAAAUAUACAACACAU
rnacentral:lncRNA from 1 species